rnacentral:rRNA from 1 species
GUGGGGAAUAUUGGACAAUGGGCGCAAGCCUGAUCCAGCCAUGCCGCGUGAGUGAUGAAGGCCUUAGGGUUGUAAAGCUCUUUCAGUGGGGACGAUAAUGACGGUACCCACAGAAGAAGCCCCGGCUAACUUCGUGCCAGCAGCCGCGGUAAUACGAAGGGGGCUAGCGUUGUUCGGAUUUACUGGGCGUAAAGCGCACGUAGGCGGAUCGUUAAGUCGGGGGUGAAAUCCUGGAGCUCAAAUCCAGAACUGCCUUCGAUACUGGCGAUCUUGAGUCCGGAAGAGGUGAGUGGAACUCCUAGUGUAGAGGUGGAAUUCGUAGAUAUUAGGAAGAACACCAGUGGCGAAGGCGGCUCACUGGUCCGGUACUGACGCUGAGGUGCGAAAGCGUGGGGAGCAAACAGGAUUAGAAACCCGUGUAGUCC